rnacentral:rRNA from 1 species
CGGGGCAACCUGGCGGCGAGUGGCGAACGGGUGAGUAAUAUAUCGGAACGUACCCAGAAGUGGGGGAUAACGUAGCGAAAGUUACGCUAAUACCGCAUACGAUCUACGGAUGAAAGUGGGGGACCUUCGGGCCUCAUGCUUUUGGAGCGGCCGAUAUCUGAUUAGCUAGUUGGUGAGGUAAAGGCUCACCAAGGCGACGAUCAGUAGCUGGUCUGAGAGGACGACCAGCCACACUGGAACUGAGACACGGUCCAGACUCCUACGGGAGGCAGCAGUGGGGAAUUUUGGACAAUGGGCGCAAGCCUGAUCCAGCAAUGCCGCGUGAGUGAAGAAGGCCUUCGGGUUGUAAAGCUCUUUUGUCAGGGAAGAAACGGCUGGGGCUAAUAUCCUCGGCUAAUGACGGUACCUGAAGAAUAAGCACCGGCU